AGCUCACAGUGCGGGCACAGCCUGACUGCUGAGCUGGGAGCAGCGGGGGGACCUCAGCUCUUCCCCCUGUGGGCUCUCACCACGCUCACACCGCCCGCUGCCCUCCCACAGCCCCAUGGCGUUGUCGGCCCUCACAGACCCACGGAAAGGGCUCUGUGACAGUGAGAUAAGCAGAGCGGAUGGGAACUUCUGGUAACCGCCGCAAAUUGCUCUGAUUGUUUUCUGCUCCCCGUGUUCAUGUAAAGCCCUUUUGCUCUGCUUCUGACUGGAGCCGAGCCGACGGCCUCGCCGCAGUGCCUUUUAAUGCUGUGCUAAAGGCAGUUCUUUGGAAUAUAUGUGACUGCAAGGUAAAUGCUAAAAAGAUAGAUCCUUCCACUGAAUAUCUGCAAAUCCCCGCGCUUCCCGUGCAGCCCACGGAGCCAAACACAGCCACGCAAGAUCGAAACGCCGACAAGUAUUUGUGACAUGCGGUCCGCCUGGGUCACCUGAACCGGUCGGGUCUCAAAAGCAAUGCAGCAGCCCGCAGUGCAAACGUCGCACCCAGCGCCCGUAUGCCGCCACGGCGCGACCACCGGCCCCGGCCCGGCCAGGAGCGAUGGGCACCGACGGUGCACGCAGGAGGAGGGAAAGGGAACGGGCAACACUUACUCUGCAGAGCCCAGCCGGCCGCCAGGCAGAGCGUGACGGUCCCCACGAUGGCACCGCGUCUCCGACAGCCCCGGAGAGGUCUCAUCGGAGAGCGGCCGCGGCGCCGGCAUUGACCCCGCCGGGCGGGGCCCGCGAGAACGGGCUGCAGGCCUCUUCCUCGCCGCUCUCCCUCCUCUUCCUCCCCCGGCACCCGCCCGGCGCUGAGCCUUCCCCGCGCCUCUCCCCGCUGCCCCGAUACGGCCGACGGAUGCAAUUGGCCGCCGAGGGAACCGCGUGGCGGAGCCCGGGCUGGAAGGGGAUCUCCCUGACGGGAGGUUGUGGCGAGGUGGAGGUCGGCUCUGCUCGCGCGUAACAGCGAUAGGACGAGAGGGAACGGCCUUCGGUUGCGUUAUGGGGGGGCUCGGGUUGGGUAUCAGGAAACACUUCGGAAACGUUUCUUCACAGCGAGAGUGGCUCUUGGCUCAAUGACCUGUUUUGGCAGCGUAACAUAUGGGACAAGAGCUCAUAUCAAAUGGAUUUAACUAAGACAAAGGCCUGACCUUGCCUUUUGCUAACGAAAACAAAGAAAUGAACUCCCCAGUGUUAAAAAUGCACAGCAGUUCUAACCUGAUGUAGGAGGCAAUUUCACCAUGGGAGAAAAUUCAGGAAAGAAAUGUCGACACGGAUUGGAUGACAUUGCAUCUGCAGGGUCAGAGGGUCGGCUCCGUGUUUCUCUGAGAUGCUUUUGGUAGAUGCAGUAGCACGAGGAGGUCCGAUCCAGCAACAGAACCGUGUGCCAGAGAAGCCAGGGAAAGAGGCAGCAUCCUGCUGCUCCAUACUCCAUAUGCUGUCAGUGGUCCAGGCUUGCCUUAUUCCAUCCUUUUGGAAGUGGGAAUGACAUUCAUUGAGAGGAUGAUGUGUGGCACAAAAAGCCCUUCUCUCACCCCGGAUGAAUCAAUAGCUGUAAUAGGAGAGGCUCAGGGCAGUGCUGGUCUGUCAGCAUUCCUCUGCUUUUUGAGCUAUCUGAGCUGAGCCUCUCUGUGGUUUGAGGUCUGUGGAUUUGGGAAGAAAAUAGAGGAAAAAAAGAAGCAAAGUGAAUUUCACCCUUGAAGGACAUAGAAAUGAAUAUGUGAGGAAGCACAGAUGCUUUCCCGUUUGGAAAUGACAUUUAUCAAAUCAGGAGUACGCAAAGUACACCUGCAAGUAGGGAUGUCCGGGUGACUGCAGUGCCACUGAGUACCCUUGUGGUCUUCCUUCCCUCUUCUUGGUCCUACUCAUCAUGCACAGUGCACACACCUGCAGAUGAUAUCUAAGACACUGGGACAAAAACCAUCAACGUGAGAUGCGAGUUGUACCCUACAAACCAUGCCAGGAGAAACAGCUUCGCCCCAAGAAGCAGCCACUGAACCAGCCAAGGCAGGUGUGAAGACCAUGAAAACAUACCCAAACCCUGCUAAAUUAGAAGAGAUUCUUGCUUGUAUUGAGGAGCUGGCACUGCUCCCCUCCUGCUUUUAGCCCCCAGCACAGACCACACACGGGCUCUGCAGUUCCAGUUGCCCGGAGGACAUCAGGAAACAUGGAGAUGUGACACUGAGGAACAGUGGGCAUUGUGGGGAUGGGUCGACGGUUUGACUUGAUGAUCUUACAGGUCUUUUCUAACUUCAAGAUUUUAUAACUCUAUGAUCUGCCAUCAGGAUGCUCCCAGAGGCUGAAGGAAGGCAACAGCUGCAUCUCUGCAUCACUUUUACCAAAGCUGCUGGGGUGGGAUACCCACUGAUGUGGUCGGUGGGCAUCUGGUGGCACAGGCACACCAUCUCACCCAGAGAGAUAUAUAUGUUCCAUUUGGAGGCUUGCUUCUCAGAUUUUCUAGCCCAGCUCUAUAAAUCAAAGCAGCAUAAGGAACCCCAGGCAUCAUCAAGAUUAGUAGUUGGUGUAUCUGUCAGAAUCUUGUUUUGAUUCAUCUAAAGCUGUGCAAGAAUUGGAUUCCUUUGUAGUGAUUAAUUUCAGGAUUCUUUUCCCUGGGCUAGGCUCCAAAAUCCCACAAGCAGGUUGUGCUCUUUCUUGUCUUGGUUUUCAUUCAGCAGCAAGGCUCUCACCCAGCAAAUGUGAGAUGCAGGGCAGGUAUGGACACUUCUGGGGAGGUGGGAUGGAAGAGAACUGGAUGUCCAUUCCAUUUAUUGUGGAAUGUUAGCCCCACUAGAAACAGGAAACAAAGACAAGGUAAUACCAGGAAAAUAACAACAUGUGUGUGAUAAAAUAAUAGCAUUUAUGACCUGGUUUGGCCAUGACAUCAGAAGGUCAGUAAUCAUAUAACCCUUCACAUGACAUCAGUAUCUGAGGUCUGAGGUUACUGUCUGUUAUCUAGAGAAGAGCCUAAUUAGUGUGGUACCACACAAACAAAGAUACAAAAGCGGCUUUUGUCACGUGUAAGAAUUGUCAAACCAUUUCUGAAGAUAUUCAGACUGGAUAUAAGGGAAAGUUUUUACAAUAAGAGUGGUGAGGCGUUGGCAUAGGCUGCCCAGGGAGGUGGUGGAGUCACCAUCCCUGGAGGUGUUCAAGGAAAGGGUGGAUAUGGUACUGUGGGACAUGGUUUAGUGGGGAAUAUGGGUGGUGGGUGAACAGUUGGACUGGAUGGUCCUAAAAGUCUUCUCCAAUCUUAAUGAUUCUAAGAUUCUAUUCUGUGAUUUUGUAAUAUUCAUUAUCAGCAGUGUAUUUUCAGCUAUAGAAACAACAGCUCCAUUCACUGCACGCAAAAGGAAAACAAUCUUAAAGAAGGGCAAAUACACAAAGGGACUCUUCAGCCUUUCCUCCUUUCCAUGCAAGUUUUGAUUUUCUCCUCUCCAUGACCACACCAGCACUUUGUCAUCACUAACCCUGGGGUGUCUCAGGAGAUCGAGCCUGUUGCCCUUCUCUAGUCUGGUCGCUGUCCUGAGAUGCUGGAGGAGUGAUAUGCACAGAUUGGGUGAGAAAUUAAAAAGAAUUAAGGCUGAGUUAUAAUUAAGCAAGGCAAUAAUUAAGCGUGAUUAAGUCUAGUUUAAACAGACCGUUUAAAUAUCUCAGUAGGUAUUUUUAUGCAGAUCACCUGACAGCUCUCCAUUUCAUGUAGUGAACGCUUGGUGCAAAGGAUGUCCUGUGACCUGCUCUGUCAGCACAGCCGUGUCCUCACUUGGUCUAACCAAGCUGCCAAAAGCAGAAGCCUUUUUCCACCUGUUUUAUGAUGAGGUUGGAACUGUGUGAUCUUUGAGGUCCCUUCCAAUCCAAACCAUUCUACACCUCUUUGAGUCUAUCAUUCUGUUUUAGCUCUCUGAGCUUGCAGAAGUUCUGAGCCACGUGCCCCCCAGCAAGCUGUGCUUAGUGCUCCUGGCCUCACUACCUUUGUCUGGGCAUGUGGGGGAAGCUGGGAAUAGGCAGCGCCAAAGUGAAUCAAAUCAAACCCAUCCAGCCCUGCAGAAUGACCGCUGAAGCAUUUUAGGCAUGUGGUCUUUUGAAUAAUGAUGUGAUUGAGCACACCGGUGUAAUUAUGGUGUCUGCUGUGGCAGCAAGUGUGGGUAACCCAGGGCAGCCCCAGCUCAGACCCUUGUACAUGCUCAAGGGGUGGAUUCCUCCUGGAGCAUCAUGAAUAUCACAACAGCAAUUAGAGCUGUGGGCCCAGCUCCCCACUUCAGCCUGUGUGGACUGCCCUGAACAUUCCAGAGGUGGAAACUUCAUUUAUUUUUUGCCUCUCAUUUGUAGGAGUGUGGUGUGCUAGGUGGAGGAGGUCAUGCACACCAUCACAGUCAGCAGUGGACUUCCCAGCAGCACCAACAGAGGCACAUGGUGUAUGUUUUGACUUUUCAACAUCAACCAUUCUGGGAUUCUGUGAUCUUUCCAUAAGCCCUGCCUGUGAGAGAAGAGAUGCUACCAAAGCAACAGGAACAUACUCUUGUUGUGAUUCAUCCCAAAUAACUUUCAACAUUACAUUUCACUGCGUCACUCGAGGCUUCCUUUCAGCAAGUAUUUGUACUGAGCAUUAGGCUUCAAUUCACCUGAUCUGGCUCUAGCAACAAACGUCAGCAUCUGGGCAGGAUGACAGCAUCUCCUGGCAGGCAGGAUGCAGUGCGGUGCCCAGAGGCUUCCGUUGCCUUGGGCUUCAUUGACAUUUUUAGACUUCAUCUUCUGUGGAGCAUCUGGGCCGAUAUCAAGUGGCAAUUUGAUUAAGAAGCAAGAACAACAAAAAAUCAGUGCUUUGCACAUUAGGUGAAUUAACUGAUUAACUGAGAGGUCUUGGAAUGUAAUUACAAGCACAAAAUCAUCAUCCAGUCUGUGAAUCUCUAGUGAGGUUGAUUCUCAGCCCUAUAGUAUUGAAUUGCAUUUAUCGAUGACUGAGCAGGCAAUGAAGUGCAGUCCUCGUCCUGUCCUCAGCUGGGCAAACAAAUGUGAUGCACUUCAGUAUGGGCUAAUGGACAAAAAGAAAAGCAAAGAACCCCAACCCUAUUUGUCCAUUUGGCCAAAGAACUGAAACAAAAUACUGACUCUUCUGGAAGUUGUUUGGUGUUGAAUAAAGACAUUUCCCAGCAAAUCUAAAGAAAAGGUGAGCUGUAUAUCAUUUGUAUUAAUGAAAACUUGAGCUGUACAAACACCUUGUCGUGGACAUAUCUAGGAUACAAAGGUGGUAAAUCCACAAACAGAAGGGCACACUGGGACCCUCCGUGCCCAGGCAAUUCUUCGUUUACAAAGAGGGGGCAAAGAAAAAAGACUUAAAGUGAACUGGAGGCAUCAAUGUGAGAGGAAUGAUUUCAUGGGUGCUGGGUCAACGUCCCCUAUGCUGGCAGUACCUAAAGGGCACUGGGUGUGCUGGACUGGAACAACGAGGCAUUAUGUCAUUAAGUACAGGCUGGAAUUGCUUUUAUAUUUAUUUUACUUGCAGCUAAUUGCUUUCAAAACUUCGCCUGACCUUGAUGAAUGUUUUCCUUUUAAUGUUCUGAGGAGGGAGUCAUAUAAGGAUGGAAAAUGGUAAACAUUCAGGAGAGUUACAGUAAUUGUAUCUUUGCCAUUUCAGUCUCUCCACAUGCAGCAGAGUGUGCUUCAGCAGUAUUAAAUUCAGAGGAACUUUGUAAGGGCAAAGCGUGUGCUGAGUGUGCCAGGUACCACACUACAGCACUAAGGCAUUCCUAUCUGAAGUCACUACAAGUCUUCUGUGGUGAUGCCAGGAGGUGAUGUGACUGUGGCUGUGACGUGGCUGUAGUGGUGAUGUGACCACAGUGGUGACGCUCUUCAGCAAUGUCAUAGAAUCAUACAACCAUAGAACUGUUUGAGUUGGA